CUUCGCAUAGCUCGGAUCUCCUGGUGCUUGCGCUGUUGGGAAGGAAGAGGAGAGAAAUCAAGUAGCACAACUCCCCCCUUAAAAGAAAACCACUUCUUGAGCCAAAACACUCUGACUGGGAAACGUGCUGGAAAUACUGGAUCCUCCCUGCCCCUACGCUGCUCAUCAAUAAACACAGAACAAAAAGGAAAAUGGUAUCGGUGUUGUUUUAUAGUUGUGAUCAAACAUCAGGUAUGUGAAUAGAUAAUCCCAAAGAUCCCUUCAGUACUUGGAAUGUGAGCAGUCACUUAGGAUUUUACCAUGGAAUGACACGCAUUGCCAGUCCCACCCCAAUUCCACGUUUUAGCAUCACUUACUUUAGUAGCUUCCAACUGUGAUUCUAAUGUUCCAGAUUCCUCCACCAUGCAUGACCUAAACACAGAAUCACAGUGAGAGAAUGCACUUAUCCCAGAAAAAAAAAUGGCAAGUGGGGCUUGAAAUUAACAGUCCUUCCUUGAAAAUAAAGACCCUGACAGCAGUGUUGUUCUCCUAUAGAUAUUUAAACACUGGUUUUGUGUUUUGUUCUGACUCAUCCUGUUUCAGACGGACACACGUUUGAUUUUUAUCUCUUUAUACAGUUAAUUUCUAGCCCCAUUUAAAGGCAACACCAUCAGCAGCCACACUUCAUGCCAGAUCCAAAGCACCCGCUUUACUGGACCUAAUGAAAUUAGGAACUUGGUGCAGUCCCACCCCACUCCCCCGUGCCCAGCACACACACACACACACACACACCAACUACAGGUGAUUCCCUGGAGAUGGGCAGCGCUUGCCAGUGGGGUACAGGGGCUCUACAGAGGGAUGUUACAUGAGGAUAAAAUGGGGGAAAAAGAUGUUGAAAACUACUGGUUUGGUGUAAAAGUAAUCCUAGUAUGGCACAAUCACUGCAGGAAGCCGCAGACCUCCCCUACCCUGCAGGGGCUGGGGGACUGUUGCCCUUCCCACCCCUACUGUGAUGCACCCAGAGAAACUGAGGCAUGGUCACUCUUCUACAGCUGAUUUCCACACUGAGCUUCUAGGCACACCGCAGCCCCUGCUGCAGCAGAUAAAGAUCACACUGUGGUGAUGGUCUGAAGAUCUAUUAUAUAGGGACUGGCUAUGGGAAGUCUCUGCAUGCUGCUUCCUGCCCCCCCCCCCCCCCCCCCCCAAUAUCCUAAGCAUCCUUGAAGUAGCAGUGGUUUAACAAUCCCUGCCCUUCCAACACGUAGGGUGAGAGCUCACACUGAAUGACCUGUGCAUGGACAGCAAGCCUGGGCGCUGUCUCCUUUGACUCUGUGGUAUAUAAGUUCCUAAAACUUAAGUAGCUGGUAUUUAAGUCACUAACACCAGGGUUUUCAUCCCCACUGAGGUUUAUCCUCCUACACACCCUUAAGCUUCUUGAGGGAGAUUUCAAGUGCUGAAUCACUCUGUACCAAGUAUCUGGGGGUUUCUCACCACAGGGUUAAGCUCAGGUUCAAUGCACAUCUAAAGAGAUGAAGCGCACGCACAGAACCCUGAGCAGGAAGCUGGGAACCACCCAUGGAGAGAGUCAACAGGGAAACAAACCUCCAAGCAUCUCUAAGGCGUGAGAGUUAGUUGGAAAGAAAGCGAGCCUUGGAAUUAAAGAGUGCAUUUGAAAACCAAAGUGAGGU